rnacentral:rRNA from 1 species
CGGGUGGUAAAUUCCAUCUAAGGCUAAAUAUGGGCCAGAGACCGAUAGCGCACAAGUAGAGUGAUCGAAAGAUGAAAAGCACUUUGAAAAGAGAGUUAAACAGUAUGUGAAAUUGUUGAAAGGGAAGCGCUGGCGACCAGAACCUGCGGGCGGCGGUUCCCCCGGUCCCCGUCGACCGGGCUCCUCCGUCGCCCCCAGGCCAACAUCGGUUCGGGUGGCCGGUGAAAGGCCCCGGGAACGUAUCUGCCUCCGGGUCGACUUACAGCCCGGGGUGCCAUACGGCCCACCCGGACCGAGGAACGCGCUCCGGCGAGGAUGUUGGCGUAAUGGUGGUCAGCGGCCCGUCUUGAAACACGGACCAAGGAGUCUAACAUCCAUGCGAGUGUUUGGGUGUCAAACCCCCGGCGCGGAAUGAAGGUGAACGGAGGUGAGAGCCCCGGCCGGCGACGGCGGGGGCGCAUCAUCGACCGAUCCGGAUGUCUUCGGAUGGAUUUGAGUAAGAGCAUGGCUGUUGGGACCCGAAAGAUGGUGAACUAUGCCCGGAUAGGGUGAAGCCAGAGGAAACUCUGGUGGAGGCUCGCAGCGGUUCUGACGUGCAAAUCGAUCGUCGAAUCUGGGUAUAGGGGCGAAAGACCAAUCGAACCGUCUGGUAGCUGGUUCCUGCCGAAGUUUCCCUCAGGAUAGCAGUAACGGAAGCAGUUUUAUGAGGUAAAGCGAAUGAUUAGAGGCCUUGGGGUUGAAACAACCUUAACCUAUUCUCAAACUUUAAAUAUGUAAGAAGUCCUUGUUGCCCCGGUGAACGUGGACCUUCGAAUGCGUCGUUACUAGUGGGCCAUUUUUGGUAAGCAGAACUGGCGAUGCGGGAUGAACCGAACGCGGGGUUAAGGUGCCGGAAUGCACGCUCAUCAGACACCACAAAAGGUGUCAAUGCAUCCAGACAGCCGGACGGUGGCCAUGGAAGUCGGAAUCCGCUUAGGAGUGUGUAACAACUCACCGGCCGAAUGCAUUGGCCCUGAAAAUGGAUGGCGCUUAAGCGUGCUACCUAUACCCCGCCGUCGGGGUUGAAAUGAGGCCCCGACGAGUAGGCAGGCGUGGGGGUC